AGUGAACGCUGGCGGUAGGCCUAACACAUGCAAGUCGAACGGCAGCACAGUAAGAGCUUGCUCUUACGGGUGGCGAGUGGCGGACGGGUGAGGAAUACAUCGGAAUCUACUUUUUCGUGGGGGAUAACGUAGGGAAACUUACGCUAAUACCGCAUACGACCUACGGGUGAAAGCAGUUGAUCUUCGUACCUUGCGCGAUUGAAUGAUCCGAUGUCGGAUUAGCUAGUUGGCGGGGUAAAGGCCCACCAAGGCGACGAUCCGUAGCUGGUCUGAGAGGAUGAUCAGCCACACUGGAACUGAGACACGGUCCAGACUCCUACGGGAGGCAGCAGUGGGGAAUAUUGGACAAUGGGCGCAAGCCUGAUCCAGCCAUACCGCGUGGGUGAAGAAGGCCUUCGGGUUGUAAAGCCCUUUUGUUGGGAAAGAAAAGCAGCAGGUUAAUACCCCGCUGUUCUGACGGUACCCAAAGAAUAAGCACCGGCUAACUUCGUG
rnacentral:rRNA from 1 species